AACUGCUUAAAAGUUAUAACUGGAAAUAAUUUGUUUGAGCAUUGGAAAUUAGAUCAAAUGAGUUUAAACUGGACAAAUUUUCAAAAGUUUUCUGGAAAUAUGAACUUUUAAACAUGUUUUUUUUUUUCAUGAUUCAGUUAAAAUGGAGGGAACUACAUGUAUAUAGCCAUUUCUAACAGUUGCAAACUUUCAAGUCUUGGAGUCACAUGAGAUGUUUCAACUCAAAGGAUGUCAGAUGAGGGAAAAGUGUUAAAUGUACUGUUGAAUACAGAAUGCUUACAGAACUAUCUUGUAUCCAUGGGAGAGGUCACACCACAAGUCAAGAAGAUGUUGCAUCAUGUGAAGUGAAGGAUAUAUACAUCUGUACUAGAUGGAUGUUAAAUUACAUUUGUUUGAAUGAAACACUCUGACUUAGAAAUAAUUGUGAA